rnacentral:lncRNA from 1 species
CCGGCAUUAUUGUAAUCUUCGUAAACAAAAGUGGGUAAUUACUUGAUAACUUUAUAUAACAAGUGCUGAUCAUGGACUGAAUUUCGGAUUUAAAUUUUAUUUAUUUUUAACCGUGCUUCAGAUCUAUGUAAAAUAUGAUAUUUUUUGGACCAAGACUGGCCCAUGGUCUGCUCAAUGUAAUAAACCGAUACAGUCGGCAAUUCCGUUGUCGGAUUCAGAGGUUAUUUGUCUUGUGAGGUUCAUCUCGCUGAUAGAGAGCACUAUCCCUCGUUUCUGUCCUGUGUCUGCCUCACUCUUCUCCAUUGGCUUCAGC